ensembl:lncRNA
CGGGUCUCUCCUGGGUUACGUCACGUUAGGAGGCAGAGCCGUGAAGUCCUGUGUACCUGAGAGCUCAGAAAAAGAGAGAAGAAAAUGUUUAGAUGGGUGGAGUGGGGAGUGCCGCGCGCCGAGGCUGGCAGUCCCCACGCAGUAUGGCAGGCGGUAAGCUGUGUUCCCAUUACACUCAGGAGACCCUCGGGAUUUCAAAGUUCUGCAGGUCGGUUUGUGAGGAAUUAGGCUCCUCUUCACCUUGGGAAGGACCUUCCCAUCCCGGAUAAUCACGGGGUCCUAAAUGGGCUUGUCACCGUGAGGCGAUUGCUUCCUUCACUCCAACCAAGGAAAAGGCACUUGUGGAUUGACUGAGCUUCCAGAAAUUGGCGACAGUUGGGGAAAUCGUAGAGGCCCUUCUCAAAGAAGACGCCGUGGCCAUCUCCACUGCCCUAACUCACCAUGGUCGUUCAUUAGUGCUGAGGGUGUUAUACAGUAUAUGCUGGUCUUGAAUUCACCAUGUAACUGAGGAUGACCCUAAACUUCUCAUCUUUCUGCGUUUACCUCCUCCGAAGUGCUGGAAUUACAAGCAUGUGCCACCAGGAUCAGUUUAUGCCAGUGCAAUGGAUUAAAUCCAGGACCCUGUGUUUCCUCUACUGAGCUAUACCCACAGCCAUGCAUUUUCAGUCAGGAAAAAAAAACAAAACAAAAACAGAAUUCCAGAAAUGAUGCAGGUGUUUGAGAAUGAUGGCGCCCUCCACUGGCCAACUUCAUGACCCAGUGACCUGAUUUGCUGGGCACUUACAGUCACAAGAGAUCAACCUGGGACAGUGCUCUAAGCUCACUGUCUAAUGCCAAUGAAGAUUACUGGUGUCGUGUCAUGUGGAGGUAGAAGCAGGCUUUAUUAAGAAUUAUUGCAUAAGGUUGGAGUGGUGGCUCAGCAAGAAUUAUACAUAGGAUUAGAGUAGUGGCUCAGAGGUUAAAAACAUUGGCUGCCCUUCCAGAGGUCCUGAGUUCAAUUCUCAGAAAUCACAUGGUGGCUCAGAACCAUCUAUAAUGAGAUCUGAUGCCCUCUUCUGGUGUAUCUGAAGACAGCUACAGUGUACAAACAUAAAUUAAAAUAAAUAAAUCUUUAAAGAUGAGCAUUUGCUUGCAUGGUAACGUUCACGUACAAAUAAAUAGGAAUUUAGGGCAUAAGUUAAUGCAUAAGAAAUACAUAAUUGGAGAAAGAAGGCCAUAGUUUCUUGCUACCAGUUAGAAGUUCUUAUAAAAACAAAGAAAGAUACUAUAAUUAGACAAGAAAUUUUUAAAUUUCUAAGUGAUAUGAGAUUUUUUUUUUUUUUUUGUUUGAGACAGGUUCUCACUAUGUAGGCA